UACGUAGGGGGCAAGCGUUGUCCGGAUUUAUUGGGCGUAAAGAGCGUGUUGGCGGCCAUACAGGUCAGCUGUGAAAACUCGAGGCUCAACCUCGAGACGUCGGUUGAAACCGUAUGGCUAGAGUCCGGAAGAGGAGAGUGGAAUUCCCGGUGUAGCGGUGAAAUGCGCAGAUAUCGGGAAGAACACCCGUGGCGAAGGCGGCUCUCUGGGACGGUACUGACGCUGAGACGCGAAAGCGUGGGGAGCGAACAGG
rnacentral:rRNA from 1 species